UCUUGGAUUAUCCAAGUAAUAACGGGUACUGACCCGAUUCACAAAAGAACUGCUGCCUGCACAAAUUCUGCUUGGAUCCGACACCAUUUGGGCGCUCCACAUCUUUUCUGAAAUCCCCCCACAUCUUUUUUUGAAAUCCAGCUUUGGUUACUUCUUUCCGUACUUUCAGGAGCCGUUAACUACAUCAUGUUCCAGCCAUGGAAGUUUGUGUGAGGCUCCUAGGUUAAUCACACUGCAUUCGAUAGAGCAUAAACAGUGUCCAUGGAAAAUGGUCGCAAACGCAUCCCAUUAGGUGAGGUUUCUCCUUCGUCUGUCAGACCGUCACAAAUGCGCAACGGAGACGAUCAUCGGCCACACGGAAUUCCCAGGACGCAUGAAUCUCAGGCAUCUUCUAAUCACAAUUUCUGGCUAUGGCCCUGUUGGUGAGCUUACCCUACCCAAUAAUAUAUUUAAGGCUUUGAAGUCUCUAUAUAUUACUGAGGUUUUCAAGACACGCUCGGGACUCAAAGUCCAACCGGAAUUACACAGAAGGGGUCCAUAGGUUCAAGCCAGGCAUCGGGUAUUUUUAGAUCACGUGUUCUUAUUUUCUGAUGCAUUCAAUAUAAUGUUGAUUUUUUUAAUUUAGACAGCUCAAAGUUAAGUGAUGCAUCUGUAUUGUUAGUGACCCUUAUCAUUAUUUUGUUUGAUUUUAAGUUUAAUUUAUCUAUUUCUUGAUUAUUGUGAGUAAAGUGUGGAACUAUAUUUAAUUUGCUG